GUGUUGUGUGAAAGGAUAGAAAGUUAGUACCCCCACCCUCCACCCCUUGACAGGAUGGAAGAGACCCUUGGUCCUAACAACACACAUAUUUUUAAGGCAUUGCAAUCUACUUUGUAGUGUCUAGAACUAAUUUGA
rnacentral:ncRNA from 1 species